rnacentral:rRNA from 1 species
UGAGGAAUAUUGCACAAUGGGCGAAAGCCUGAUGCAGCGACGCCGCGUGGGUGAAGAAGGUUUUCGGAUCGUAAAACCCUUUUCUGUGUGACGAGAACGGACGGUAGCACAGGAAUAAGUCUCGGCUAACUACGUGCCAGCAGCCGCGGUAAAACGUAGGAGACAAACGUUAUCCGGAGUUACUGGGCGUAAAGGGCGUGCAGGCGGCAGUCUAAGUCUGGCGUGAAAUAUCCCGGCUCAACCGGGGAAGGUCGUCGGAUACUGGGCAGCUAGAGGGCGGUAGAGGCGUGUGGAAUUCCGGGUGUAGUGGUGAAAUGCGUAGAGAUCCGGAGGAACACCAGUGGCGAAGGCGACACGCUGGGCCGUACCUGACGCUAAGACGCGACAGCAUGGGGAGCAAACAGG